rnacentral:rRNA from 1 species
CCAGACUCCUACGGGAGGCAGCAGUGAGGAAUAUUGGUCAAUGGCCGCAGGGCUGAACCAGCCAAGUCGCGUGAGGGAUGACGGUCCUAUGGAUUGUAAACCUCUUUUGUCAGGGAGCAAAGGGCGCCACGUGUGGCGCUUUGCGAGUACCUGAAGAAAAAGCAUCGGCUAACUCCGUGCCAGCAGCCGCGGUAAUACGGAGGAUGCGAGCGUUAUCCGGAUUUAUUGGGUUUAAAGGGUGCGCAGGCGGAAUGUCAAGUCAGCGGUAAAAUUUCGGGGCUCAACCCCGUCGUGCCGUUGAAACUGGCGGGCUGGAGUUGGAGAGAAGUACGCGGAAUGCGCGGUGUAGCGGUGAAAUGCUUAGAUAUCGCGCAGAACCCCGAUUGCGAAGGCAGCGUACCGGCUCCACACUGACGCUGAGGCACGAAAGCGUGGGUAUCGAACAGGAUUAGAUACCCUAGUA